GACGAACGCUGGCGGCGUGCCUAACACAUGCAAGUCGAACGGAGAUUUUAGCAAUAAAAUCUUAGUGGCGAACGGGUGAGUAACGCGUAGACAACCUGCCUUCUAGAUGGGGACAACACUGCGAAAGUGGUGCUAAUACCGAAUGUUGUAAUUGGAAUGCAUGUUCUGAUUACUAAAGGUGGCCUCUAUUUAUAAGCUAUCGCUAGAAGAUGGGUCUGCGUCUGAUUAGCUAGUUGGUGAGGUAAUGGCUCACCAAGGCGACGAUCAGUAGCCGGGCUGAGAGGAUGAACGGCCACAAUGGGACUGAGACACGGCCCAGACUCCUACGGGAGGCAGCAGUGGGGAAUCUUCCGCAAUGGACGAAAGUCUGACGGAGCAACUCCGCGUGAGUGAAGAAGGUUUUCGGAUCGUAAAACUCUGUUUUCAGGGACGAAUGUGCUGAUUGCAAAUAAUGGUUGGUAAUGACGGUACCUGACAAGAAAGCCACGGCUAACUACGUGCCAGCCGCCGCGGUAACAC
rnacentral:rRNA from 1 species